GGGCGGUUAGCUCAGCCGGUUAGAGCAGGGGGACUCAUAAUCCCUUGGUCGUGGGUUCGAGUCCCACCCGCCCU
rnacentral:tRNA from 1 species